rnacentral:rRNA from 1 species
ACCUACGGGGGGCAGCAGUAGGGAAUCUUCCACAAUGGGCGAAAGCCUGAUGGAGCAACGCCGCGUGGGUGAAGAAGGUCUUCGGAUCGUAAAACCCUGUUGUUAGAGAAGAAAGUGCGUGAGAGUAACUGUUCACGUUUCGACGGUAUCUAACCAGAAAGCCACGGCUAACUGCGUGCCAGCAGCCGCGGUAAUACGUAGGUGGCAAGCGUUAUCCGGAUUUAUUGGGCGUAAAGGGAACGCAGUCGGUCUUUUAAGUCUGAUGUGAAAGCCUUCGGCUUAACCGGAGUAGGGCAUUGGAAACU